UGUGAGAACAUUCCCAUUGUUCUCUGUGGAAAUAAGGUUGAUGUAAAAAACAGGCAGGUAAAAGCUAAGAUGGUUACAUUCCACAGAAAGAAGAAUCUCCAAUAUUAUGAGAUAUCAGCUAAAAGCAACUACAAUUUCGAAAAGCCUUUCCUCUAUCUUGCCAUAAAACUUGCCGGGUAAUGAUUGAAUACAUAUUUAUUUGGUCUAUCAGAUUUCAAUCUAAGGAUUAUUAUUUGAUUAUUUAAUAAAUGUCUGUUGUUUGAUUUCAAUCUCAAGGGACCCCAAACUACAUUUUGUUGAAUGUCCGGCACUUCUCCCUCCCGAUGUAGAAAUCGAUGUUGCUGCAUGCCAGAAGUACGAAGCUGAGAUUGCAGCAGCUGCUGCACAACCCCUCCCUGAUGAUGAUGACGACGCUUUUGAUUGAUCAAUUUCGAGAUAAACUCUGGCUCUAUACUCUGGGCAGCUUUCAUUUCGUUAAUUUUCUAUUGUUUUCAUCUACACCUUAAACUUGCUGUGAUAUUUCUGUUAUUCUUGCUUUGUCUUUCUAAUAUUUUUUGUUUAUGCCCGUACUCUUGUAGUCCUAAAGUUCAUACUUUCAUAGUUAUUGAUAGUAUUUUUUAAAGUCAUUUUAAUCAACACAGCAUGGAGUUUAACUGUUUAAUUGAUUUCGAGCAAAUUUUGUUUGUUUAUUUUUCUGAAUUUUGUCUUAAUUUUGAUUUUUUGUUUUCUUACUAUCUGCCAUCUUUUAGUUUCAUGCUCUUUUGAUUUCUUCUUGUUCAAUGGAUUUCAAUUUUUUUCUCGAGACUGGUUCCUAGUCAACGUACCAGAAUUCAGAAAUUCAUUUUUGUAGUAAAUAAAUUGUGCAUAAAAUAUUAAAAUUGUAAAAAUAUUGUAUAAUAAAUUAUUAAUAUUAGAAAGAAAUAUCUUAAAAGUUAAUAUGUUUUAAAAAAUAAAAUAAAAUAAAUUCUCAUUCUCAUUAUUAAUAUAUAUUACUAUAUCUAAUAUCUCUACAUUAGGAAACAUAAAUCAGAUAUUAUCGAGAUACUUAAAUAAUGAUCGAUAUUAUCUAAGAUCGACGCGUUAUUUGAAAGCUAAUUCGAUCCAACCUUUUGCAUCUCUUACUCAUUUGACUAUAUAAACUAAACCUCACUGCCGAGCCAUUUCUUCUCUGGCCGUCACAGUUAAAAACCCUCUUCAUCAAACUCGAUAGAAUAUCUAAAUAAAUAAUGGCAAGUUCUUCCGCUCUACCUUUCGAUCUGUUAAUCGCAUUCUUUCUAUUCUAGAUGGAUAGCGUUAUCAUUACGAUCUGGAUCAUUGAUCUUAUUUUUUUAAUUGAUUUCAGGCGCUUUCGAAUCAACAGACAGUCGACUAUCCGAGCUUCAAGCUCGUUGUUGUCGGCGAUGGAGGAACUGGUGAUCGAUUAUUUUUUGUAUUUCUUUUUUAUAUGAUGUAUAACAUGAUCCUCGAUUGUGCAUUGAAAUAAAAUGAUCUGCAGGGAAGACUACAUUUGUAAAGAGACAUGAGACCGGAGAGUUCGAGAAGAAGUACGAACGUAAGAUUCUUUAAUUCUUGUUGUUAUUUUGUUAAUGGAGGAAUGCUGAUGCUUUGUUAUUUUUUACAGCUACUAUUGGCGUUGAAGUUCAUCCUUUGGACUUCUUCACAAAUUGUGGGAAGAUCAGGUUUUAUUGCUGGGAUACUGCUGGUCAGGAGAAAUUUGGUGGUUUGAGAGAUGGAUACUAGUGAGUGAGAUCAAACUUCUUGUUAUUUUCUCCUUUUUAUUUAAAUAAAGCUUUUUCGUCUUUUACAAAUUAAGAUAAAUGUUUUGUUUUAUUCGGUUUUAUCAUUUAUGUGUUCUUUAGUUAUCCAUUUUGAAUUUUGUUAUUAACACAUUCCUAUUCCUAGAAACUCUUUUAUUUUGUUCUAUCUUAUGUGUUAAAUGUUUACCUUUCAUUUUUUUUAUAAAUAAUUUACGUUUCGUUUUUAUAGUUGAAUGGAAAUAAUAGAAUGAAACCACGAUUUAAUUAGGGCAUGUAAUAUACUUAUUAUAUUUAGUAUCGACUCUCUGUCUCUCUGAUCAAGUGCAUUGUUUCUUUGGUCAGUGAUUGUACAGAGAUCUUAUCGAAUUUCAAAUCAUUAGGAUAAUUCAAUGCAUUGUUUCUUCAAUGUUUUUUUGAAAUACAUUUUUUUCUUUUAACAUUAAAAUUGUGACAAAACAGAAAUGUAUUACUUAAAAUCAAAGUUUCAUAUGCAUGUAGCACUGUAAUUUAAAAUAAGGAACUGUGUUUGUUUUUAGUUAAAUUACUUUAAGUGGUCGUGAAAUUUCAACUCUCGAUUGAUGUAUAAAUAAUAUUUGUUCUCAAAUUUUUUCCUUUCUAGUUUCUCAUUUUCCUUAUGAAUGUAUAAUGCUUACUGCUUAGUGUUUUGUUGUAUUUUUAAUACCCCUUAAUUUGUGUUCAGAAUAUCAUAUUUUUAUUAAUACUUCAGGGCUCAGGCUUGAUCAAUGUAUUCUGAUUGCCUGUUAAAAUAAUUUUUUAUUAUCUCUUAUCAACAUCACAGUAUUCAUGGACAAUGUGCAAUUAUAAUGUUUGAUGUCACUGCAAGAUUGACAUAUAAAAAUGUCCCCACUUGGCAUAAAGAUCUUUGCAGGUUAGUUAUUUUGGUAUAUGGAUGCUUAUCUUGAAAUUGGAAUCUUCCCUUGUUUUUAGAAGGAAAAAAAAAACUUUUGUGGUUUGCUUCUUCUAUCCAGAGUGUGUGAAAACAUUCCCAUUGUUCUCUGUGGAAAUAAGGUUGAUGUAAAAAACAGGCAGGUAAAAGCUAAGAUGGUUACAUUCCACAGAAAGAAGAAUCUUCAAUACUAUGAGAUAUCAGCCAAGAGCAACUACAAUUUUGAGAAACCAUUCAUCUAUCUUGCCAGAAAGCUUUCCGGGUAAUGGAUGAAAAAUUCAUUAACUGUUUUCAUAUACUAAUUUGCCUUUUCUGAAUUUACGCAGUAUUAUUUGAUUAUUAUUUUAAAUGCUUGUUGCUUGAUUUCAAUAUCAAGGAAUCCGGACCUUCAAUUUGUUGAAAGUCCGGCACUUGCCCCGCCCGAAGUGCCAAUCGAUUUGGCUGCAUGUCAGAGGUACGAGGCUGAGAUUGCAGCAGCUGCUGAACAACCUCUCCCUGAUGACGACGACGAUAUUUUCGAUUAAUCCCUUCCCUUCCAUUUUAUAGAUCGAUGGGGUUGUUAGUUCUCUGGACAAGUUUCUUUGGAAUGUUAUCUAUCAUUCUGUUUUGAACUUGAAAUAAUGAAAUUGUGCACCUUUUUUUCAGAACAUUAUCACUAUUUCAUUAUGAAAAAGUUUCUUUUCAACACACACAAUUAGUUACCAUCCUUGUUUAAUGCCAGUGAUUUUACCAAAAUGUUAAGAUUAAAGCUUGGCUAUCUUUACCAAUAUUGGGGCUGAUCUUAUAAUCAUUCUUAUAAUCGUCAAUCUUAGUCUUUGUUCGAUCCUUAUUUUUAUAGCAGUGUUCUUAUCAUUAUCCACAUUUUAGAAUUUUCCUACAGGUUUCCCCCUCUAUCAUGAUCAGUAAUAUGCUCUUCCCAAAAACCCUAGAUCAUCAUCAGAAACAUUAGUUUCCAUUCAAUUCUUAUUAUGAGUGUUUUUGAAAAUUUGGUGUAUUUUUAGUAUUAUACCUCAAAGUUUUAAAAUUUACGAAAAAACUUCACUACUUCAGUAACAUUCACUUAUCCAUAAUUAUUUCAAAAAAAAAAAAUAGCGUAAAAACACCGCUAAAGAAAAAGGCGACCAAUCAGACGGCCAAGAUUGACGCGUUAUUCGAAAGCUAAUUCGAUCCAGCCUUUUGUCUCUUUCACUCAUUUUUUGCUUAUAUAAAUCUCAUUACCGAACCCUUUCUUUCCUCUACCGUCUUCGUUAAAAACCCUCCUCUUCUUCAUCGAACUCGAUAGAAUACCUAAACAAAUUAUGGCGAGUUCUUCUUUUCCUCUCACUUCGCCCCCUUUUCUUUCUAUUAUCGAUCGAUAGGGUUAUGAUUACGAUCUGGUUCGUUGAUGUUUUUUUCUAAUUUGAUUUCAGGCGCUUCCGAAUCAGCAAACAGUCGAUUAUCCCAGUUUCAAGCUGGUCAUUGUUGGCGAUGGAGGAACAGGUGAUCUAUUCUUUUUUCUUUCUAUUUCAAGUCUUUCAUAAUUUUCGAUUGUGCUUUGAAUUUUUUUUUUACCUUUUGGCUUUGAAUCGACGCAGGGAAGACUACGUUCGUAAAGAGGCAUAUGACCGGGGAGUUCGAGAAGAAGUACGAACGUAAGAUUUUUUUUAUUCCUUCUUCUACUUUUUCUCGAUUUGUUAAUGGAGGAAUUCUGAUUCUCAGUCGUUCUCUGCAGCUACUAUUGGUGUUGAGGUCCAUCCUUUGGAUUUCUUCACAAAUUGUGGGAAGAUCAGGUUUUACUGCUGGGAUACAGCUGGUCAGGAGAAAUUUGGUGGUUUGAGAGAUGGAUACUAGUGAGAUAUCUUUUCUUUUAUUCGCGUGAUUUUAUUUAGAGAAUUAAAGCUAGUCUCUAUUUUAUAAAUUAAGGCUGAUGUUUGUUUUGAUUCACUCUAAGGUGUUCUUUAACUACUUAUUUUAAGCUACUUUAUAUCAGUAUAUCAACACUAAUAUUUUCUUCAAUGGUUUUUGAAAUGCAGUUUUUUUUCUUUAUACAUUAAAUUUCUGACAAAACAAAUCUAUUUACAUAUAGCAUUGUUUUGUAUGUGACUAUUCAUAUGUUGAUAUAUGUGUAACUUUAAAGUUAUUAGUUAAAACUUGUGUGUUUGUAUAUUUUGUUUAAUUAGAAUAAGGAAGUGUGUGUUUUUGUAUAUUCAUAGGUUUUUAAUUUUAAUCUUUUUCAAAGCUCUGUAAUUUUUGUUCAUAACGCCAUAUUAUUAAUUAUUUAUACUUCAGGCUUUAUCAAUUUAUUUUAUCAGCCCAUUGAACUAUUUUUGAUAACUGAACUUCUUAUUGCAGUAUUCAUGGGCAAUGCGCAAUUAUAAUGUUUGACGUCACUGCAAGAUUGACAUAUAAAAAUGUCCCAACAUGGCACAGAGAUCUUUGCAGGUUAGUAAUUUGGUAUAUGUAACAUGUGUGCUUAUUAUCUUGAAAUGAGACCUUUCCUUGUUUUUAGAAGGAAAAAAAAUCUAACUUUUGUGGUUGGCUUCCUUUAUCCAGGGUGUGUGAGAACAUUCCCAUUGUUCUCUGUGGAAAUAAGGUUGAUGUAAAAAACAGGCAGGUUAAAGCUAAGAUGGUUACAUUCCACAGAAAGAAGAAUCUCCAAUAUUAUGAGAUAUCAGCUAAAAGCAACUACAAUUUCGAAAAGCCUUUCCUCUAUCUUGCCAUAAAACUUGCCGGGUAAUGAUUGAAUACAUAUUUAUUUGGUCUAUCAGAUUUCAAUCUAAGGAUUAUUAUUUGAUUAUUAAAUAAAUGUCUGUUGUUUGAUUUCAAUCUCAAGGGACCCCAAACUACAUUUUGUUGAAUGUCCGGCACUUCUCCCUCCCGAUGUAGAAAUCGAUGUUGCUGCAUGCCAGAAGUACGAAGCUGAGAUUGCAGCAGCUGCUGCACAAC
rnacentral:lncRNA from 1 species